GAUCAACGCUGGCGGCGUGCAUAACACAUGCAAGUCGAACGAAGUGGCGAACGGGUGAGUAACACGUGAGUAACCUGCCUUACACAAGGGGAUAGCCUUUGGAAACGAAGAAUACUACCCUAUAGUGUAAGAUGGACUUGCGUCUGAUUAGCUAGUUGGUGAGAUAAAAGCCCACCAAGGCGACGAUCAGUAGCCGGCUUGAGAGAGGGACAGGCCACAUAGGGACUGAGGCACGGGCCAAACUGUACUGGAGGCAGCAGUGGGGAAUCGUGCACAAUUGGCGAAAGCCGGAUGCAGCGACGUCGCGUGCGGGAGAAGGCCUUCGGGUUGUAAACCGCUUUCAGCAGGGACGCGGUACCGGCAGAAGAAGCCCCGGCUAACUACGUGCCAGCCGCCGCGGUAAUAC
rnacentral:rRNA from 1 species